AGCGAACGCUAGCGGCGGGCCUAACACAUGCAAGUCGAGCGGAGGGAGCAAUCCUUCAGCGGCGGACGGGUGAGUAACGCGUAGGUAAUGUACCUUCUGGUGGGGAAUAACCGUGGGAAACCAUGGCUAAUACCGCAUAUCGUCCUUACGGAUGAAAGCCUUCGGGCGCCCAGAAGAGCAGCCUGCGUCCCAUUAUUUAGUCCUAGUUGGUGAGGUAACGGCUCACCAAGGGUACGAUGGGUAGCUGGUCUGAGAGGAUGAUCAGCCACACUGGAACUGAGACACGGUCCAGACUCCUACGGGAGGCAGCAGUGGGGAAUAUUGCGCAAUGGGCGAAAGCCUGACGCAGCCACGCCGCGUGAGUGAUGAAGGCC
rnacentral:rRNA from 1 species